AGACGCUGGCGGCGUGCUUAACACAUGCAAGUCGAACGGAGAUUAUUAAUGAAGCUUGCGAUUUAAUAAUCUUAGUGGCGGACGGGUGAGUAACGCGUGGGCAACCUACCCAUAAGCGGGGGAUAACAGUUGGAAACGACUGCUAAUACCGCAUAAGCUAUUGAGGUCGCAUGACCUAAAUAGUAAAGGUGGCGAAAGCUAUCACUUAUGGAUGGGCCCGCGUCUGAUUAGCUAGUUGGUGGGAUAGCAGCCUACCAAGGCAACGAUCAGUAGCCGGCCUGAGAGGGUGGACGGCCACACUGGGACUGAGACACGGCCCAGACUCCUACGGGAGGCAGCAGUGGGGAAUAUUGCGCAAUGGGGGAAACCCUGACGCAGCGACGCCGCGUGAGCGAAGAAGGCCUUAGGGUCGUAAAGCUCUGUUGUAAGGGACGAAUGUUUAUCUGGCGAACAGUCAGAUAAAGUGACGGUACCUUACCAGCAAGCCCCGGCUAACUACGUG
rnacentral:rRNA from 1 species